rnacentral:lncRNA from 1 species
GUCCUUGCCUCUCAAAGUGUGAAUGGUCUUUUAUUGAGAAUAUGAAAGGUCACCAUUUUGCGAUAACAAUCUAACUUGGCAUGGUAAUUUGUUAGCCAAUCCAUGCCAAGGAUUACAUCAAAAACUUGAAAAUCUAAGAGUAGGAGGUCUACUGCUAGUUGUCUAUCAGCUACCUUGAUAAUGCACGACUUAUACACUGCAUCCGAGAUUAAUGUGACAUUUGCAAAUGUUGUUAUUACUAAAAUAUGGUAGAAGGGUACAGGUU